AAUCUGUACCUUGAAACUAAAACAGGAGAAUUUCUGUGCUCAACCUAAGGAAGAGUUAUACCCUCAGCCCUCACGCAGCCUCUGGAGGAGUCUUGGAUUGCCCUCAGGGUUAGUCCGGGACUCCCGGGUAACAUCGCAGGCCACAGAGCAGCUGCUCACGUUUCUUGUGAGAGGUUAAAUAAAACGAGUGUCUGAUGCUCCUCCUGACAGAAGCUGACCCUCAGGAAGAAUAAGAUUCCAUAAGGUCUCUUUACAGAUGCAUCUCCCCUGUGAAGCCCCCCGCCCCCGUUCACGAGGGACACCCACCUCCCCUGGGCUUCUCCAGCACUUAGGUUACUCCACCAGCCCCACCCAGCGUUACAGCCUGAGAGAUCCUUGAGGAUGGGGUCCACCUCCUACAUAUUCCUGUGUGUGCCACAGCCCUUAGCACACAGUAGGUGCUUAAUAAUGAAUCACUUCAAUGAUGAACCAUCUGGGAAACAGAGGAAAGCUGCGGGUGGAGAAUGGUGCCUUGAGCUCCCGGGUUAAGACUGCGUCUCAUCAGUCCCUUCCCUGGUCCUCAUUUUCAUGGUAGUAAGUUACCAUUUUAAUUCACCAGUGUUUUGUAGUAAGCCUCCUUAUCCGUAGUGAAAU